rnacentral:rRNA from 1 species
GGUCUGAGAGGAUGAUCAGCCACACUGGAACUGAGACACGGUCCAGACUCCUACGGGAGGCAGCAGUGGGGAAUAUUGCACAAUGGGCGCAAGCCUGAUGCAGCCAUGCCGCGUGUGUGAAGAAGGCCUUCGGGUUGUAAAGCACUUUCAGUCGUGAGGAAGGUGGUAGUGUUAAUAGCACUAUCAUUUGACGUUAGCGACAGAAGAAGCACCGGCUAACUCCGUGCCAGCAGCCGCGGUAAUACGGAGGGUGCGAGCGUUAAUCGGAAUUACUGGGCGUAAAGCGCAUGCAGGUGGUUUGUUAAGUCAGAUGUGAAAGCCCGGGGCUCAACCUCGGAAUUGCAUUUGAAACUGGCAGACUAGAGUACUGUAGAGGGGGGUAGAAUUUCAGGUGUAGCGGUGAAAUGCGUAGAGAUCUGAAGGAAUACCGGUGGCGAAGGCGGCCCCCUGGACAGAUACUGACACUCAGAUGCGAAAGCG